rnacentral:tRNA from 2 species
GCCUGGGUGGUGAAAUUGGUAUACACGUUAGUCUUAGGAACUAAUGGGUUUAUCCCGUGGAGGUUCGAGUCCUCUCCCAGGCA